AUUCCAUCGGGUGCACUGCGGGUUGGGAACUCUGGUGAAGGUGAGGUUGAGUUCUCCAGGAGAAGCCGGCUCAUUGAAAUAGAGAGAAAUUCUUUCUGACUUCUGAAGUCCUCAGUUCUGGCUCUAUGCCCUCCCACUGACUGGGUGAGGAAUGUUCCUCAUGGCUGAGGGCGAGCUCCUAUGUUGAUUGUAGAUGCAAUCCACUGUAGAUACAAUCAACGGACUACAGGCACUAACCUACCUGUAAAAUAUUUCAGGUAACAAUCAGGCCAGUGCUUGCUUGACCAAACAACUGGCCAAGCUGAUGCCUGAACUCCACCAUCGCAGGGUUUAAAGCACAGAAGAUGAGUGGGUGCAAGGGGGCACCAGCAUAAGAAAACCCAUGUUCAGUGACAGAAAGCAAAUGGGGUGAAGAGUGAUUGUUCAUAUCACAGGAGGCCCCUCUCCGAGGGGCUCAAGAGCUUCGGGUUCAGCCUCCAAGUCCUGGCUCCGCUGCUCACCCUGAGUAGCCACGACCCUGUCACAUGACCUCUCUUAUCCUCAGUUUCCCCAUCUAUAAAAUGGAGACGCGGUGUCUGCCCCUUGGUUGUUGCGAGGCUUAAUGAGACACGCACAUAAAGCACUUAGCGCAGGAGCCUCAGCGGGGGUUGAUGCUCUAAGUGCCUGAGUGUCCUAGGGCUGCCCCAACAAAGUGCCACAAACGAAGCUGCUGAAGACGACGAAGCUGAUUGCCUCACGGUCCCGAGGCUCAGACGUCUGAACUCAGGGUGUGCGCCGGGCCGGGCUCCCUCGGAGCCUGCCGGGAGACUCCUGCCUCCCUGCCUCGCCGUGUCCUUCCUCUCCGUCACCACGCAGCCAUCCUGCCAGCGUCUGUCUGUCCAAACAUCCCCUUCUUGUAAGGGCCCCACAGAGUCCUCCCCACACCAGUGUGGUCUCAUCGUAAUCCAUCACACCUGCAAAGACCUUGUUUCCAGGGAUGCAGCAACUACAGCAAGACAGGGUGCCUGCGCCCGGAGGUCUGCUUCGGCCUCUAGCUGCCAUCUGACUUCCGACCACUUCUAACACCAUCCUUGGAGCUGCCAGGGCAGGGAGGGGUGGCUUGCCUUGUCUCAGGUGACAGCCCUCUACACACUCAAAGGCUUAUCUCCUGCUCCCUUAAGUUUGUCUUCUGCAGGCGAAACUUCACUCACCUCCUCAGCUGUUUUAUGGACAACCUCUUUGAUCCCUUCUGGCCAGGAGACCCAAGAAACUUGGGGUGUGCAGCUGGGACUAAGCCUACUUAUAAUUGUGCCUAAGUUCCCCCAGAGAACCUCUCUUGUUGCUCAGAGGUGGCCUCUCUCUCUCUCUAAGCCAACUCUGCAGGUAAACUCACUGCCCUCCCCGCUG